rnacentral:misc_RNA from 1 species
AUGUUAAAGCCAAACCAAUGAUAGCGCUCUUGCCAAAUAUCUUGAUAGCUCUUCUCUUCUCGAGAUCAAUAAGGAAAAGAGCAGUCCCAAAUUUUGCCUUCUCUGUGGAAGCAGCUCCUUUCUCCGCAUCAUUUACGUCAACUGUCUUUGUAUAUGCUUGUUUAGAGUCAGUAAUACUAUUAGCCCUAAUGCCAUCUUUAGACUCAUUUUUAUAACUAUCAAGCUUUGCUUUGUUAUCCGCUGCAUUGGACGCAUGAACAGCAGAGCCUAAGCAAACAGCGAUCAAGAAACAUGCAACCCCCGGAAAAAGAAUCUCCGCUUUGUUAAUUUUGUCAUCAAGGUAGUAAUUCAAGGUUGUUCCUAUAA